ACAAACUUGGUCAUUUAGAGGAAGUAAAAGUCGUAACAAGGUUUCCGUAGGUGAACCUGCGGAAGGAUCAUUACUGAAAUCGCUGCACGGCUGUGCAUUUGCUUGCACGCCUGCACCUUUUCCUACCCUCACACCUGUGCACCCUCGGGCCCUUGGUGGGCCCGCCCUUUCUUUACUUUUCUCAAUGUGUAGAAUGUCCUCAUCGUGUGUAACACGUAACAACUUUCAACAACGGAUCUCUUGGCUCCCGCAUCGAUGAAGAACGCAGC
rnacentral:misc_RNA from 1 species